rnacentral:rRNA from 1 species
ACGGGAACCUGCGGAAGGAUCAUUAAUGAUUGGCCUAACGGCCUUAUCAACAUAAUCCCUCACCUCUGUGAACCGUUGACCUCCGGGUCUACAUAACAAACAUCAGUGUAAAGAACGUCUUUAUAUUUUAACAAAAUAAAACUUUCAACAACGGAUCUCUUGGCUCUCGCAUCGAUGAAGAACGCAGCGAAAUGCGAUAAGUAAUGUGAAUUGCAGAAUUCAGUGAAUCAUCGAAUCUUUGAACGCACCUUGCGCCUUUUGGUAUUCCGAAAGGCAUGCCUGUUUGAGUGUCAUGAAAUCUCAAUCCCCCCGGGUUUUCUGAACCCGAGGUGGACUUGGACAUGGGUGUCUGCCGUCUCGUACGGCUCGCCUUAAAUGACUCAGUGGGAUCUUCAGCAUCCGUGGCAGACGUAAUAAGUUUCGUCUCGUCCCUUGCUGUGAGGACCGCUCAUAACCUGCCAUCGCGCACCACUUUUGACUCUGACCUCAAAUCAGGUAGGACUAGCCACGCUGAACUUAAGCAUAUCAAAG